GAAAUUGACCCUUGCACUACAGCAAUGUCUUUGGGCACUGGAGGACAGAGGCAAAUCUACUGUGAAGAUCUUUCCAAGCAGGGAGCCAACCACACCUGGGAGAAGAAGGUGUCCUGGUACCACAGAGUGCUGUGGAUCCUGCUUGAGUGGGGAGGUGCCCAUGGACAGGUCAUCAGUGGAUUUUGGGACUACAAGAGAACAGUUUGUGUUGUCUGCCAUACUGGAUACACUUGGUACGUGACUUUUAAUAUUUCAUUAUUAUUAUUAACCUAUAUUUUACUACCUAGAUGUGAAAUGGUAAUCUCAAAAACUUCCAGAAAGUUAGAAACAGACAAAAAGCUUUGUAUUCAGCCCAUUAGUCUUUAGCCAAAUAUGUAUUUUCUAGUGGAAAAAAUUAUACACGUUUAUGAUCAUACAAAAAUAUUCAUUUUAAAGCCCUUAAUGCUCAGGCAUCCAAUGAAUGCCUAUUAUUCAUCUUUUUUUUAGUUAAGAGGCUGUUGUUUGAACUAGGGAAGUUUUAUAACUGCCAGAUGGAUUGCUCUUAAAAAAUGUCUAAAUGUUUACUGAUUGUUUUCAGCUGAUUGGUGAAGAGCAGGGUGGCCACAGGUAUGUCAGAAAUGAGGCUAAUAAGAGAGGGGAAAUUGCUCCAAGGGCCUUGCUGGCUGCAUCCCCCACCCCAAGCAGGCUGGGCUGGAGGUCACCAGCAUGCUGCAGAGCUGGCCUGGGCAAAGAAAACCAAAGCACUUCAGAGAAAUAUCUUGUCCUGCCUGGCCACAAAAGCAGCCCUUCUCUCAUGUUGCUGUUUCCUCCUUCGGUUUGGAGGCAGAGCCUAUCUGGCUUUAAUAAAUAUAUAAAUAUAUAUGCA
rnacentral:lncRNA from 1 species